UACGGAGGGGGCUAGCGUUGUUCGGAAUUACUGGGCGUAAAGCGCACGUAGGCGGCUUUGUAAGUUAGAGGUGAAAGCCCGGGGCUCAACCCCGGAAUUGCCUUAAGACUGCAUCGCUUGAACGUCGGAGAGGUGAGUGGAAUUCCGAGUGAUAGAGGUGAAAUUCGUAGAUAUUCGGAAGAACACCAGUGGCGAAGGCGGCUCACUGGACGACUGUGACGCUGAGGUGCGAAAGCGUGGGAGCAAACGG
rnacentral:rRNA from 1 species